AUUGAACGCUGGCGGCCGGCCUAACACAUGCAAGUCGAGCGAGCGGCGGACGGGUGAGUAAUGUAUGGGGACUGCCCGAUAGAGGGGGAUAACUACUGGAAACGGUAGCUAAUCCCGCAUACUAUCGGAUAACCCAUAUGGGAUUAGCUAGUAGGUGAGGUAAUGGCUCACCUAGGCGACGAUCCCUAGCUGGUCUGAGAGGAUGAUCCGCCACACGGGGACUGAGACACGGCCCAGACUCGUACGGAGGCAGCAGGGGGGAAUAUUGAACAAUGGGCGCAAACCUGAUGAAGCCAUGCCGCGUGUAGGAAGAAGGCCCUAAGUUGGUAAAGUACUUACAGUCGGGAGGCGUAACCGACAGAAGAAGCACCGGCUAACUCCGUGCCAGCAGCCGCGGUAAUAC
rnacentral:rRNA from 1 species